CCCGUUNNNNNNNNAAAGAGAACUAGACGCAGCUGUGGAGCGAACAUGAUUAGAUCGCUGGGUAGUCAAGAUAUGGACGGUGAGGACUAGGUGUGGGCAACAUUUCUCGUUGAGUGGGCCGCAGCUGACUCAUUAAAUGCCCCGCCAGGAGAGUACCGUGGCGAGGAUAAAACUCAAAGGAAUUGACUGGGGGCCCGCAUAAGCCGAGGAUCAUGUGACUUAAUUUGACGCAACGCAUAGAACCUUAGCAAGGCUUGACAUAGGGGGGACACGUCUGGAGACAUUCCCCCCCUUGUGGACGGUGUACAAGUGGUGUAUGGCUGUCGUCAAAUCAUGUCAUGAGAUGUUGGGUUAAGUCCCGCAACCAGCACUACCUUUGACUUUUGUUGUCAGCACGCUCUUGUGGUGCUGGGGACUCAAGGGAGACCGCCGGGGUCAACUCAAAGGAAAGUGGUGACCACAUCAAGUCAUCAUGCUUCUUAUGUCUUGCGCUGCAGACAUGCUAUAAUGUUCGGUACAAUGAGUUGCGAUACCGAGAGGUGGAGCGAAUCUAAAAAACCGUUUUUAAAUUCAAAA
rnacentral:rRNA from 1 species